rnacentral:rRNA from 1 species
GCGCACCAGUCGAGAAACUUUACAAUGUGCGAAAGCACGAUAAGGGAACUCUGAGUGCCUCCUAAGGAGGCUGUUCAGGUGUCUAAAAGCGCCUGGAGUAAGGGCUGGGUAAGACCGGUGCCAGCCGCCGCGGUAACACCAGCAGCCCAGGUGGUAGCCACUUUUAUUGGGUCUAAAGCGUCCGUAGCCGGUUGAGUAAGUUCCUUGGGAAAUUUGGCUGCUCAACAGUCAAGCUUCCAGGGAAUACUGCUCGACUUGGGACUGGGAGAGGUCAGAGGUACUCCAGGGGUAGGGGUGAAAUCCAUUAAUCCCUGGGGGACCACCGGUAGCGAAGGCGUCUGACCAGACCAGGUCCGACGGUGAGGGACGAAGGCUAGGGUCGCGAACCGGAUUAGAUACCCCCGUAGU